rnacentral:rRNA from 1 species
AUGAGGGGCGACCGAAGGGAACUCCGGCGAGGCGGCGGACGCGAGGCAGCGGAUCUGGUCGGCGACGAGCUUGAGGGCUGCACCAUCCGCCCCUGCCUGGACUGGAUCCGGAGCCCCGACGCGCAGGCCAACGCCACCGUCUUCCUCGCCAAGUUCUACGGCCGCGUCGAGCUGCUCAACCUGCUCGCCGCCAGCCCCGACGCCGGCCUCCGCCCGGCGCUCUUCCACUUGCUGCUCUACGAGGCGUGCGGCUGGAUGGUCAACCCCGUGUACGGCUCCGUCGGCCUGCUCUGGUCCGGCCAGUAG